rnacentral:rRNA from 1 species
AGAACGAACGCUGGCGGCAGGCCUAACACAUGCAAGUCGAGCGGAUGAGAGGAGCUUGCUCCUCGAUUCAGCGGCGGACGGGUGAGUAAUGCCUAGGAAUCUGCCUAGUAGUGGGGGACAACGUUUCGAAAGGAACGCUAAUACCGCAUACGUCCUACGGGAGAAAGUGGGGGAUCUUCGGACCUCACGCUAUUAGAUGAGCCUAGGUCGGAUUAGCUAGUUGGUAGGGUAAAGGCCUACCAAGGCGACGAUCCGUAACUGGUCUGAGAGGAUGAUCAGUCACACUGGAACUGAGACACGGUCCACG